UCAAUUGGUUCUUGAUUGAUCAAUAAAGU
rnacentral:piRNA from 1 species